AUUUAAGUAGUUUAAAAAAAAUAUUAAUUUGUGGAAUUAAUGAUAUAUGAUAUUAUCUUAAAUA
rnacentral:tRNA from 1 species